AGCUUUGCGCAUUGGCGAUAUCGUAACCAAUGAGGUUCUACCGAGGUGCGAUUAUUGCUAGUUGAAAACUAAAAAAACAUUGGAAUUCCAUUAUUAUUAUUAUUUUUUUUUCCUUUUUUCUCAGGGAUUUUAAACC